AGUAUAAACAAUUUAUAGUGAAACUGCGAAUGGCUCAUUAUAUCAGUUAUAGUUUAUUUGAUAGUCCCCACUACAUGGAUAACCGUAGUAAUUCUAGAGCUAAUACAUGCGCACAGGGGCGACUUCUGGAAGCCCCGUAUUUAUUAGAUACACACCAACCCCUUCGGGGUCCCGGCGAGUCAUGAUAACUAAACNAACCGCANGCUUCGGCGGCGGUGGUUCAUUCAAGUUUCUGCCCUAUCAGCUUUCGAUGGUAGGGUAUUGGCCUACCAUGGCGGUGACGGGUAACGGAGAAUUAGGGUUCGAUUCCGGAGAGGGAGCCUGAGAGAUGGCUACCACAUCCAAGGAAGGCAGNNNGCGCGUAAAUUACCCAAUCCCGACACGGGGAGGUAGUGACAAGAAAUAACAAUGCGGAGCCUUCGGGUUUUGCAAUUGGAAUGAGUACAGUUUAAAUCCCUUAACAAGGAUCAAUUGGA
rnacentral:rRNA from 1 species